CCAAGCCACGGUUUGCUCAUGUGUAAAAUGGGGAUGAUUAUAUCACCGCUUCCUUCAGAAGGCUGCGACAGUUAAAUGGAGCAACCCAUGUAAAGUGCGUUAGACAGAGAGGAGGCACUUAACAAACAGCUGCCAUUAGACUUGCUGAGGUAAAAGAACCAGUUCAGUCACAUGGCCCAGUGUAGGAUCAUGAUCACGUGGUCAGAACAUCAGCGAGAAGCUGAACAGUGCUUUUCUGUUGCUUCUCUAGGGUUUUUCCAACAUAUGCACAAAAUCAGCAAAAAUAUAUAUAGAACCGAGGAGGCUCAGGGAAAAUGACAGGCAGACAUGCAGCUAUUGCAAACCCGUGAUGUGCCAGGCCCUGGGUUUCUUCCUGGAAAUAGAGACAUAAAUAAGACACGGAUGAUGAUCACCAUCAAGGGUUCAAGGGCAGUGCAUAGCUCUUUGUUCAAAUCCACAGAAAUAUGACUCGAAGAAAGCAUACGGUGGAUAGAAAAGAUCUUGCAAAUCAGCCCUGUGUUCUUCUGUAUCACAGUUCAGGAAUGUCUCUUCUCCAUGCAGGUUCAUGGCACAUCAACGAGUGUGACUGGGGAGUGCUGGCAAAUCUACAGUUGAACUGCCUAAUAAUUUGUGGCAUCAGAACCAUGCAGGAGACAAACAAAAUGACUUAGACCUUCUGUGUGAUCUCACGAGGGUUGUGUUGUAGGGCUCCUGUAAUAAGAAAUGGAGGUCUCAUCAUGUUUCCCCGGCUGGUCUUAAACUUCUAGACUCAAGCAUUCCUCCUGCUUCAGCAUCCCAAAGUGCUGGGAUUACAGAGGGUUUAUGUUUGCACUGUGCCUGGCAUCUGCUUCCUUACGGUACCUGGCAACACCUUCUGAAGUGCCAGAGUGAGGACGUUCCCUUUGCAAGUGUGGAUGCCCAGAUGAGGGAUGCCUCAAGGUCACGCAGGACGUGAGGUCGGCUCUUCUGACUCUUGGCCGCUGAGGACCGCACAGGGGAGCGGGCGGCGGCAUCGCGAGGACUGACCACUGGGUGGCACUGUUGCUCCAUGGAGAGCUGCCAACGGCGUCCCCGGGGACCCGGCCACGUUGAGCACAAAAGGCAGAGGAGCCUGGCAACCAUGUCCCAAGUUGGAAGGAAGCUCUGAGAACCCUGCUCCCCAGAAAUCCUGAGCAAAGGCUGGCUGGCCUACAGGAGCAGUCUAGAGUAAGAGCUGUUUCCUGGCAGAGGAUCAAGUAUCCAGGUCACAUUGAAGAGACAUGUGAGGACUCCAAUGGAGAACAAUUUGAGAGUGAGAAACCAGUUCUGGAGGCCAGGAAGUUCAAGAUCAAGGUGUUGGCAAGUUCAGUGUCUGCUGAGGACCUGAUCUCUCUUCUUUCAAGAUGGCAUCUUGUUGCUCUUCCCUCCAGAGAGUAGAAAUGCUGGAACCUCACAUGGAGGAAAAAAUGAAAAGGACCAAUGCUAGUUCCCUUCAGCCUUUUUAUGAACUCACUAAUUCCCAUUGAGGGCUCCACAUACAUGACUUAAUCACCUCCUAAAUGCCUGACUUCCUAAUACUCUCAUUUUGAAGAUUAAGUUUCAACAUAUGAAUUUGGGGGUCAUAUUCAGAACAUAGCACUUAUGAUACUAUCUCAAAUCAUAGACUGCUUUCUCGGUGGGCAUCUAUCUCAGUUUCUUUUCUGUUGUUAUUACAGAGUACCUGAGCCUGAGUAAUUUAUAAAGAAAAUACAUUUAUUUUGGCUCAUGGCUCUAUAGGCUGGGAAGUCCAAGAUUGGGCGGUUACAUCUGGUUGGCUCCUGGUGCGGGCCUCCUGCCGCAUCAUAACAAGGUAGAGAAGUGAAAGGGAAGGUGGGCUUGUAGGAAGGGGGCAAAGCAUGAAGGGCAGGCUUGCUUUAUAGAAACUGGGACACAGCACCCCACAGGAUGAGUGUAUAAAGGCUAGACAGACAAGGGGAUUGUUGUGUUGAACCUGAAAAGUCCCCUCACCUGGCAAUGCUCUCUGUUCCCUGUGAGAAGAAGGGGUUUCUUUUCUUCUGGGAUGAUUCAUCCCUUCACCUGUGGCCUUCCCUAGAGCCCAUCCUUGUGCCAUUCUGCUCUCCAGGCACAUCUCUCUCAGAUGAAUUCCCUCUUCCCUCUUCCUCUGGCCCCUCCUGUUUAUUUAUCUGUUUCCUCACCACUGUGUAAUCAGGUAGGCCCCACUGCUGUGACCUCUGGAAUAAUGAUUGAAUCUGCCCUAUCCUCUCCACAGUGAUGCCUGGGACCCAGCUGAGAUCUCCAUCAUCUCUCAAAACAACUGUGCACUGACCUCCUGACCUAAGCCCAGCCUCUGCCCACUCAGACUGACCUUCACGCAGCUGCACAAUGCUGCAUUUGGAAGCCGGACCUGACCACAUUCGUUUCCCUCUGUUGAGAUUCAUGUUCUGGAGAAAUGAAAAUGCUGUCUCAGUGGAAUGUUGAUUAGCUGGAGUGGAGACCCAAGAUCUCUGUCCAGGCAGGGCCAUCAACUAGAGGUGGCCCUGUGAUUGAUGAGUGACCAGCCAUGUGUGGAGAAAAGCAAUGUGAACAACUUCUGACUUCGCUGUUAAAGAAAAUUGGUCUGUCCCCCAUUUCCUUGCAUUCCCAUUCUUACUGGCUGAAAUUCAAAGCUGAUAAAUGGAGCUAGAGCAGAUAGCUGGGAAAAUGAGUUGAGGGUCUUACAUUAAGACUUGCCAGCAAGAAGAAGAAUUUUUCCAGGGUUCCUGACACCGCCAAAUUGUUCGAUCAGCUCUGAACUCUAUACUGAGAUUCUUUAAGUAUGAGAGACAUGAACUUUGACUGGCUUAAGUGAGCUAUUGAGGUCUCUUUGCUAUUGUGACCUAACUCAGGGGUCAGCAAAUAACACUCUGUGCGCAAAAUCUGACUACGAUCUGUUUUUGUAACUAAAUAAAAUUUCACUGAAACACACCCAUGCUCAUUUAUUUAGGUAUGGCUGCUUUCAUGAUACCAUGGCACAUUUGACUACCUAUAGACAGUGAUAUGAUGUGGAUCUGUGUCCCCACCCAAAUCUCAUGUUGAAAUGUAAUCCCCCUGUGCUGGAGGUGGGAUCUGGUGGGAGGUGAAAUGGGGGCGGUUUCUCAAGAAUGGUUUAGCUCCAUUUCUCUGCUGCUGUAUUCAUGAUAGUAAGUGAGUGAGUUGUCACAAGAUCUGAUUGUGUAAAAGUGUGUGGCACCUCCCCCUUCUCUCUUGCUCCUUCUCGGCCAUGUAAGACCUGCCUGCUUCCCCUUCACCUUCCACCAUGAUUGUAAAUUUCAU
rnacentral:lncRNA from 10 species